rnacentral:rRNA from 1 species
AAUGGAGAGUUUGAUCCUGGCUCAGGACGAACGCUGGCGGCGUGCCUAACACAUGCAAGUCGAACGAGGGCCCAGAGCUUGCUCUGGUGACUCGAGUGGCGAACGGGUGAGUAACACGUGACCAACCUAUCCUAGGGCGGGGGACAACCCGGAGAAAUCUGGGCUAAUACCGCAUGAUGUUGUUCCUUCGCAUGUUGGAACAAUCAAAGAGGGCCUCUGCUUGCAAGCUCUUGCCCAGGGAGGGGGUCGCGACGUAUCAGUUUGUUGGUGGGGUAAUGGCCUACCAAGACUACGACGCGUAGCGGAUCUGAGAGGAUGAUCCGUCACAUUGGGACUGAGAUACGGCCCAGACUCCUACGGGAGGCAGCAGUGGGGAAUAUUGCGCAAUGGACGAAAGUCUGACGCAGCGACGCCGCGUGUGGGAGGAAGCCUUUCGGGGUGUAAACCACUGUCAGGGGGGAAGAAAACUGCCGGUUCGAACAGGUCCGGCAAUUGACGGUACCCCCAGAGGAAGCACCGGCUAACUCCGUGCCAGCAGCCGCGGUAAGACGGAGGGUGCAAGCGUUGUUCGGAAUUACUGGGCGUAAAGCGCAGGCAGGCGGUUCGUUAAGUCGUUUGUGAAAACCCGGG